UUGUUUUCCUCUUAAUUUCAGAUCUAAAACAUUAAGAAGUUAUUUCUAUUUCCAGACACCACCAUCACCGUAUUCAUCAUCGCUGCUACCAUCUCCAUCAUUGCCACCACCACAGCCACCGAACAUGAUCUUCUCACUGAGAACAAAAGGUUUCAAUUAUGUAUUUCAUGUUUCAGAUCCAAAAAAGUCUCUUUCUUCUUUGUUGAUAAAUAAGAAUCAAUGUGAACAACGUUUUUCUUGAAGGUUUACUGUAAGUCAAAAAGAAGAAUUGAUGAGAUUCAACAUGAAUAUAAUUUGAAAGAAUUCGUUCGACUAGCAACAAUAAGAAUCGAAGGUGGUAGUGGAAGAGGAUAUUGAUGAUGGUGGUGUUGGUGGUGGUGAUGAAGGAAAAAAGUAGUGAAGAUGUUGGUGGUUAUUUCUCUUCUUUUAUCCUGGCUGAUUGAAUUUGAAUUCGCCUUUUGUGAGUAUAAUUCCUACAUCAAAAGUGCAGGUUAGAGUGUUCGAUUUCGAACAUUAAUUACUGCAAAUUCAAUUUCAUCGUCGACUUCAGCUUCCAAAAGAAUUAAUAGGCCUUUUGCUAAUGAAUUUGAUGGUGGAAUUUUCCAUACAACCGAUGAGAAAAAGACAAAAAUUACAAAAAGUUCUAAGGAUUUGGAAGCGUUGUGGGACGACGGGUGUGGAACUAGAAGUGUACAAGACUAUUUUGAUAUGUCGAGAGAAAUGGUUAAAGAGACUGACGGUGGUCCGCCUCGAUGGUUCUGUCCGGUAGAAUGUGGGAAUCCAAUGAAGGACUCUCAUGUUCUUUUAUUCUUGCCCGGAAUUGAUGGCACUGGGUGGGGACUCAUUUUGUACCAUAAAUUCCUUGGAAAGGUUUUUUAUAAUGGUGGGGGUCUGAAGUUGGUGGGCGUGUAGUUGAUAGGAUCAUAGGAGUAGAAAUGGAGUUGGUGGUGUUGUUUUGUGUUUAGCUUCGGAUGGAGAGCUUGGUCUUGAAGCUGUUGCUAUUUAUGAAACUAUAGGUGAUGAUAAAUUGUUGUUGUUUAUAUAUUUUUAUGGGAUCAAUUGUUGUUGUUGAUCCAAUUUUUUAUGGGAUCAACUAUUGUUGUUGAUCCAUUUAUGGGAUCAACUCCUGUUGUUGAUCCAAUUUUUUAUGGGAUCAACUAUUGUUGUUGAUCCAUUUAUGGGAUCAACUACUGUUGUUGAUCCCUUCAACUCCUAUUUGUUGACAACAUUUUCUUGGAUUAGUAUAA